rnacentral:rRNA from 1 species
AUUGAACGCUGGCGGCAGGCCUAACACAUGCAAGUCGAGCGGAUGAAGGGAGCUUGCUCCUGGAUUCAGCGGCGGACGGGUGAGUAAUGCCUAGGAAUCUGCCUGAUAGUGGGGGAUAACGUCCGGAAACGGGCGCUAAUACCGCAUACGUCCUGAGGGAGAAAGUGGGGGAUCUUCGGACCUCACGCUAUCAGAUGAGCCUAGGUCGGAUUAGCUAGUUGGUGGGGUAAAGGCCUACCAAGGCGACGAUCCGUAACUGGUCUGAGAGGAUGAUCAGUCACACUGGAACUGAGACACGGUCCAGACUCCUACGGGAGGCAGCAGUGGGGAAUAUUGGACAAUGGGCGAAAGCCUGAUCCAGCCAUGCCGCGUGUGUGAAGAAGGUCUUCGGAUUGUAAAGCACUUUAAGUUGGGAGGAAGGGCAGUAAGUUAAUACCUUGCUGUUUUGACGUUACCAACAAAAUAAGCACCGGCUAACUUCGUG